rnacentral:sRNA from 1 species
AUCUAACUGAUUGCGUGAAGGAUUGAAGUGAAAAUCCUUUUUUGAGGAACGAAAAAAAGAUUGUAGCGAAAAGCCUGACCCGAC